rfam:Triticum aestivum genome assembly, contig: Triticum_aestivum_CS42_TGACv1_scaffold_487565_6AS
CACCUACUCUCUCCGUCCGGAAUUAUUUGUAUCGGAACUGGAUGUAUCUAGAACUAAAAUACGUCUAGAUACAUCCAUUUCUGCGACAAGUAAUUCCGAACGAAGGGAGUAGCUC